rnacentral:misc_RNA from 2 species
AAGUCGUAACAAGGUUUCCGUAGGUGAACCUGCGGAAGGAUCAUUACCGAGUGAGGGCCCUCUGGGUCCAACCUCCCACCCGUGUUUAUUUUACCUUGUUGCUUCGGCGAGCCUGCCUUUUGGCUGCCGGGGGACGUCUGUCCCCGGGUCCGCGCUCGCCGAAGACACCUUAGAACUCUGUCUGAAGAUUGUAGUCUGAGAUUAAAUAUAAAUUAUUUAAAACUUUCAACAACGGAUCUCUUGGUUCCG